rnacentral:lncRNA from 1 species
AGUUAUAUGUGAGAAGAUUGAUGUAGAUAUGAAAACGAACGCUCACAUAUAUGUAUCACAAAGAAAGCAAUUUAUGGAGUUAAUAAGCAUGUUUAGAUAUGAUCUCAUGAAUGGAAUGCUACUACUUAGAUGCGAGAACUAGUGACACCAUAUGCUCAUAUCAAUUUCAAACUCCCCAUAUUGAUUUCAUAAGUUAUAACCACAACCACGCAUAAAUAAAGAGUAAAUCAAAACUUUCAUCCAUGUUUAUAACUCUCUUUAACAGUCAUGCAAUUACAAACCGAAUCCUCAUCAUUGUGUUGAAAGGUACCCUAAGACACAAAUAAGCGCACAAAAACAACUCUUUUUU